GAUCCCAUCGUUUGGUGGUCAGGACAUUGGACUCUGAAUCCAAUAACCCAAGUUCAAAUUUCAGUGGGACCU
rnacentral:tRNA from 1 species